UUCAAACGCGUGUACUUCGAAUGAUAGACAGUCCAACCAUUGUUUCCCCAAACGGAAUUAAGAUACGCAGCAAGUUUCAUCCAAUUAGCCUCAGAUGCGAUGUCUGGAUUCCACUCCCCACUUUUUUUUCCAUUCAACGUAUGUCAUAUAGAAGUGUAUCUCCAUGUUUUCAUCCCAAUGAGCCUUUGCAGUGGUAUGAUCAUG
rnacentral:lncRNA from 1 species